ACUAUAGUUGCAAAGUGAAGGUGAUGGAUGUUAGGUUUUCUGGCAAACUAGAAGACAAGGAAGAAAGCAAGUAAGCUUUGCACUGAUUUGGAUAACAAAACAAAAAUGUAUCCGCAAACAUAAUUUUGUCUUAAACUAAAACUCAGGAGGAGUGGGUCAACCACAUGAGUUCUUCCUUAAAGGGCUCCAAGUGGUAUGGAGGGGGUGGUCUCUGUUUUCAAGAGAUUCAGAAGCAUUAUUCCCCCCAACCCCACCCCAGGCAGCUCUUAGGUGAAGGCAUUGGGCAUUUUGCCCAGCUGGGGCUUGAUAAAGGACCUGGGACUUCUGCCUGGUGAGCUGAGCUCCGUGAUAGGGUAGGUUCCUGACUGGUGGCUGACAGUGCAGGGAUAGAGCUUGGAGAACCUCCAAGAAUCCACAGCUAGUGGGUCUGCUCGUGCCCCUGCGUCAUCAGUCAAUAGGCGUUGUGCCUAACAC
rnacentral:lncRNA from 1 species